UCCCUGGUGGUCCAGUGGCUGGGACACUGCACUUUCACUGCCUGAGAGUCCUGGGUUCAAUCCCUGGCUGGAGAA
rnacentral:tRNA from 1 species